rnacentral:rRNA from 1 species
UCCUACGGGAGGCAGCAGUGGGGAAUAUUGCACAAUGGGCGCAAGCCUGAUGCAGCAACGCCGCGUGAGGGACGAAGGCCUUCGGGUUGUAAACCUCUUUUAGUAGGGAAGAAGCGACUGGGUUUUCCUGGGAGUGACGGUACCUGCAGAAAAAGCACCGGCUAACUACGUGCCAGCAGCCGCGGUAAUACGUAGGGUGCAAGCGUUGUCCGGAAUUAUUGGGCGUAAAGAGCUCGUAGGCGGUUUGUCGCGUCUGCUGUGAAAACCCGAGGCUCAACCUCGGGCCUGCAGUGGGUACGGGCAGACUAGAGUGCGGUAGGGGAGAUUGGAAUUCCUGGUGUAGCGGUGGAAUGCGCAGAUAUCAGGAGGAACACCAAUGCCGAAGGCAGAUCUCUGGGCCGUAACUGACGCUGAGGAGCGAAAGCAUGGGGAGCGAACAGGAUUAGAUACCCUGGUAGUCCAUGCCGUAAACGUUGGGAACUAGAUGUGGGGACCAUUCCACGGUCUCCGUGUCGCAGCUAACGCAUUAAGUUCCCCGCCUGGGGAGUACGGCCGCAAGGCUAAAACUCAAAGGAAUUGACGGGGGCCCGCACAAGCGGCGGAGCAUGCGGAUUAAUUCGAUGCAACGCGAAGAACCUUACCAAGGCUUGACAUAUACCGGAAACGGCUGGAAACAGUCGCCCCGCAAGGUCGGUAUACAGGUGGUGCAUGGUUGUCGUCAGCUCGUGUCGUGAGAUGUUGGGUUAAGUCCCGCAACGAGCGCAACCCUCGUCCUAUGUUGCCAGCACGUAAUGGUGGGAACUCAUGGGAUACUGCCGGGGUCAACUCGGAGGAAGGUGGGGAUGACGUCAAAUCAUCAUGCCCCUUAUGUCUUGGGCUUCACGCAUGCUACAAUGGCCGGUACAAAAGGGCUGCGAUACCGCAAGGUGGAGCGAAUCCCAAAAAGCCGGUCUCAGUUCGGAUUGAGGUCUGCAACUCGACCCCAUGAAGUGGGAGUCGCUAGUAAUCGCAGAUCAGCAACGCUGCGGUGAAUAGGUUCCCGG